UACGUAGGGUGCAAGCGUUAAUCGGAAUUACUGGGCGUAAAGCGUGCGCAGGCGGUUAUGCAAGACAGAUGUGAAAUCCCCGGGCUCAACCUGGGGGCUGCAUUUGAUACGUGUUGUCUUGAGUUCGGAAGAGGGUCGUGGAAUUCCCAGUGUAGAGGUGAAAUUCGUAGAUAUUGGGAAGAACACCGGUGGCGAAGGCGGCGACCUGGUCCGACACUGACGCUGAGGCGCGAAAGCGUGGGGAGCAAACAGG
rnacentral:rRNA from 1 species